rnacentral:misc_RNA from 1 species
AACGCACAUUGCGCCCUUUGGUAUUCCGAAGGGCAUGCCUGUUCGAGCGUCAUUAUCACCCCUCAAGCCCCUGGCUUGGUGUUGGACGGUUUGGUGGAGGUCCCCUCGGGGGCUCCUGCCCCUCCCAAAGACAAUGACGGCGGCCUCGUUGGACCCCCGGUACACUGAGUUCUUCACGGGACACGUAUCGGACACAUGGGUUUACGGGACACGGUCUGCCUCUCCUCAGGGAGAAUCUUUCUAAGGUUGACCUCGGAUCAGGUAGGGAUACCCGCUGAACUUAA